rnacentral:lncRNA from 1 species
UGUGCUGUAACAUGGAGGGAAGGGAGCCCUCAUUGCUCCUCAAGUUGGCUUGUACAGGUUAGCAACGUUAACCCCAUUGCACAGCACACUACCUUGUCAUCUUCCUCCCUGAAGCAGGAGAAGGAGGUGCUGAAGGGCAUCCAGACCACCAUCGUGCAGGUGCAAGGGAACUAUGAACAGCUCAACACCGUCAUGGAGACCCUCCUGCACGACAGUCAGCAGCAGCAGAAGGAUACUGAUAAGGCAGACAAAACCACCCUGGCCGGCAAAGUCAACCGCAGCGAGUUUGACACCAGGAUGGAGCGGCUGACUGAGACAGUCAAGGAGAUGCUGAGCCGGCAGAUGGACCAGGAGAAGGUCCAGCAACAGCUUAGUGAAGAGGUGGCCUCCAAGGUGAGGGCUGGCUCAUCUCUGCCACACCAAACUGGCACCUUUGGGGCUUGGCAUCCCUUUGAGGGUCCUCUGCUGUCCCACCUGGGGACCGCAAUGUCCCAUCUCAGGGCAGCUGGCUGAGGGUAUGCACCCAUCCACAGCUGGAUCACACGGAGCUGGGGGCUUUCCGGAAACAGCUGGAGGGGCACUGGAAGAACAUCCAGAAGCAGCUCCAGAAGGAGUCACGAGCAGAGGCUGAUGACGCAGCUGGGACUAAGAGGUGAGUGCGAUGGGGACAGUGUCAGCUUUGGGGACACCUCGCUGCUGCCUGUCUGUGUCCCCUCCAGAAGCUCACCCAGCCCUUUUCUCCCCCCUCCAGCCAGCUGACCCAUCACCACUGCUUGUCCUGCGACCGACCCCGUGACAUGCGGGUGCCUGGCCCGUGAGUAGCACCCAGCACCGUUGGUGGGAUGGGGGGUGAUGGAUGCUGGGGGGUGGGUGGGGGGGUGGGUACCUGGGUGGUCCAACGCUGCCAAGCC